UACGUAGGGUGCGAGCGUUGUCCGGAAUUAUUGGGCGUAAAGAGCUCGUAGGCGGUUUGUCGCGUCUGCCGUGAAAGUCCGGGGCUCAACUCCGGAUCUGCGGUGGGUACGGGCAGACUAGAGUGAUGUAGGGGAGACUGGAAUUCCCGGUGUAGUGGUGAAAUGCGUAGAUAUCGGGAGGAACACCAGUGGCGAAGGCGACUACCUGGCCUGUUCUUGACGCUGAGGCGCGAAAGCUAGGGGAGCGAACGGG
rnacentral:rRNA from 1 species